UAUACCAAAAAUAAUUAUCUCAUCCAAACUUGCUUUUUACAACAUUAUUAUUAUUUUCCUGCAACAAUUAUAAUCUUGUCUGUUAAAUGUGUACACAUUAUUAUUAUUAUUUUGUCCUACAAUUAUAAUGAUUCACUUCACAAUAAUAAUCUUGCCAGUCAAUGUGGACACAUUACUAUAAUUUUUCGCCUCAUGAUUAUAAUCUUGUCAGUCGAUGUUUUAAAACAUUAUUUUUAUUUCACCUCAAUAUUAUAAUAAUUAUUCUUACUUUUAACAAUUAUAAUCUUGUUUGCCCGAGCGAACACAUUAUUUUUAUUUCGCUUCAAAUUUAUAAUAAUUAUAUUCCACAUCGAUCAUACAAUUAUAAUCUGUCUCUCCAACAAUUAUAAUAAUCGCGACCAAAAAAGUUGCAACAUUAUUAUUAUUUAGACGCUUGAAAUCAAACGUUUGUGUGAUUUUGAUGUACUGAACAAUUAUAAUCUUGUCAGAUUUUCUUUGGGAAAGAUUAUUAUUAUUUGGACGCUUGAAAAAGUAAACGUUUGUCUGCCGAAGACAAUCACGUGGUUUAAGACCAUGUGCUUCCCUGAUCAACAGUGCCGAGUACGGCGCCAGUGAAAGGCAGGCGGUUUGCCGGAGCAACAAAGAGUCGUGAUUUUUAGAGGCAUGCAGGUUUCAAAGAAAGAAAACAGUGUUGUAAAGAAAGAAAAAGAUUGCAGAUGACACCGAGGUGAAAAGAACAAAAGGUUCAGGAACCAUAAAUUUGAUGUUGGAGUUUGAACUUCACCCUGACAGACUUUGAGCACAUCAUAAGUUUCAGACCUAUGGACAAAAAUCUGGCAGCCAUGAUAAAUAUCAGAGAAAUCUCCUUGGAAGAGUGUGCCGGUCUAGACAAAAAGUUGCAAUGUGAAUAACUUGGAAGAAAAAAAGAGUCUUGUCAAAUUUCAGAGAAUUCUUGAUGAAAGAUUGCAUGUGUUGUUCCUGUUCCAUGAAAUUUGUCUUUUUAUACGCCC